GAGUAACGCGUGAGGAACCUGCCUCAAAGAGGGGGACAACAGUUGGAAACGACUGCUAAUACCGCAUAAGCCCACGGCUCGGCAUCGAGCAGAGGGAAAAGGAGCAAUCCGCUUUGAGAUGGCCUCGCGUCCGAUUAGCUAGUUGGUGAGGUAAUGGCACACCAAGGCGACGAUCGGUAGCCGGACUGAGAGGUUGAACGGCCACAUUGGGACUGAGACACGGCCCAGACUCCUACGGGAGGCAGCAUG
rnacentral:rRNA from 1 species